rnacentral:rRNA from 1 species
CCUACGGGAGGCAGCAGUGGGGAAUAUUGGGCAAUGGGCGCAAGCCUGACCCAGCAACGCCGCGUGAAGGAAGAAGGCUUUCGGGUUGUAAACUUCUUUUCUCAGGGACGCAGCAAGUGACGGUACCUGAUGAAUAAGCCACCGCUAACUACGGGCCAGCAGCCGCGGUAAUACGUAGGGGGCAAGCGUAAUCCGGAUUUACUGGGUGUAAAGGGCGUGUAGGCGGGGAGGCAAGUCAGAUGUGAAACCCACGGGCUCAACCUGUGGCCUGCAUUUGAAACUGUGUUUCUUGAGUACUGGAGAGGCAGACGGAAUUCCUAGUGUAGCGGUGAAAUGCGUAGAUAUUAGGAGGAACACCAGUGGCGAAGGCGGUCUGCUGGACAGCAACUGACGCUGAGGCGCGAAAGCGUGGGGAGCAAACAGGAUUAGAUACCCUAGUAGUC